rnacentral:rRNA from 1 species
AGAGUUUGAUCCUGGCUCAGGACGAACGCUGGCGGCGUGCUUAACACAUGCAAGUCGAACGAUGAAGCCCUUCGGGGUGGAUUAGUGGCGAACGGGUGAGUAACACGUGGGUAAUCUGCCCUGCACUUCGGGACAAGCCCUGGAAACGGGGUCUAAUACCGGAUACGACCAUCUGAGGCAUCUCAUGGUGGUGGAAAGCUCCGGCGGUGCAGGAUGAGCCCGCGGCCUAUCAGCUUGUUGGUGAGGUAGUGACUUACCAAGGCGACGACGGGUAGCCGGCCUGAGAGGGCGACCGGCCACACUGGGACUGAGACACGGCCCAGACUCCUACGGGAGGCAGCAGUGGGGAAUAUUGCACAAUGGGCGCAAGCCUGAUGCAGCGACGCCGCGUGAGGGAUGACGGCCUUCGGGUUGUAAACCUCUUUCAGCAGGGAAGAAGCGUGAGUGACGGUACCUGCAGAAGAAGCGCCGGCUAACUACGUGCCAGCAGCCGCGGUAAUACGUAGGGCGCAAGCGUUGUCCGGAAUUAUUGGGCGUAAAGAGCUCGUAGGCGGCGUGUCACGUCGGUUGUGAAAGCCCGGGGCUUAACUUCGGGUCUGCAGUCGAUACGGGCAGGCUAGAGUUCGGUAGGGGAGAUCGGAAUUCCUGGUGUAGCGGUGAAAUGCGCAGAUAUCAGGAGGAACACCGGUGGCGAAGGCGGAUCUCUGGGCCGAUACUGACGCUGAGGAGCGUAAGCGUGGGGAGCGAACAGGAUUAGAUACCCUGGUAGUCCACGCCGUAAACGGUGGGCACUAGGUGUGGGCCACAUUCCACGUGGUCCGUGCCGCAGCUAACGCAUUAAGUGCCCCGCCUGGGGAGUACGGCCGCAAGGCUAAAACUCAAAUGAAUUGACGG